GGGGGCUUCGGCCUCCCCUUCUGUCCUCCCCUUUACUCCUCCUUCCUUCUCCCGGUAUUCCCCUUCUUUCUCCCUCUUUCCCCCACUUUUCUCUUCCCCCAAACCCGACCCCCCCGAUUCUUCCUCUCCUGUCCCUACCCUGUUACCCCCGCAUCUGUUCCCAUCUCCCCGUCGUCUGUCCGCCCUCCCUCUUCCCCCCACACCGGGCCUUUCCCUUCCCCUCCCGCUUCCCUCCUCACUCCUCACCUCCCCUCUCUCCCCGCCCUCGGUGCAGUCCCCGCAGGGGGCUGCUCACACACACCGGCGCCACUGCGCCUUCCCCGGGGCUGGCAAUGGCUCUGGAACCAAAAGCACCUUCCCAGGCUGGAGAGGCUUUCUUAAAGAACCACCUCUGGAAAGCAAACGGCUAUGGAAGAAAUGGAGUGGUUCCUGAGUGGUGUAGGACAUGUAACAGAUGAUGGGUCAUGUACACUUGGAAUCUGAAAAUGCCAGGGAAGAAAAGUUACCACCCAGACAGGGCCAGCAUGGUGGCAGCAACAGCUAAGGGAUAGCCAAGGAUCCAAAAAUAGUGGCUUGAGUCUAAACACAUAAAUCUUGUGAAAGAAUUAAUCUGCUCCUGCAAUAACAACAGCUGCCCCAUUUCCAAACUAAUCCAGUUUAAAAAACUGUUCUAAUAAGGUCUGUACAAUUUUUAGUUACGUAUGUAGUCAUUUAUCUAUGAGCUACAGUGUUUGCUGGUUUAUUUAGAAUUUAUUUCUAGAAUAGAAAAGAGAAAAUGCAUUUUACAAUGGCACAAUCUCAAGUUCUCAAAUUUCUUUUACACAAAUAGAUUUCUGUCAGUUCUUAGAAAGUGCCUGUUUAUUUCUCCUACUUUGCUUCAUGAUAUAGCCCAAAAUUCAGAAAAGGCAGAAAAGUUUAUUCUAAUAAAACAAGAGAACUGAUGAUUUUGGCCCCGUGUCAGUAAAAAAGAGAUCUGAAUGCAGGAAAUUACCUCAAAAUUUAAUUUAAAAGAAAAAAGUCUAUAGAGUUAAAAAAAAAAAGAAAAGCAAUCCAAGAAGCCAUUCUAUCAAAUCCCCAUCAUCAAAAACUCAAUGUUUGCAAAAGGAGUCAGUCAUGCUCUGCCAAGCAUAGGAAGCCACUUCAUGUCCAGAUCGUGUUCUCAUGAGGACAGGGGCAGCUCCCCAGCAGCACAAGGAUGACAUCUAGUGACGGCCAUAUCCACCUGUUCCCAACUCCAGCCUUCCUAAAAACACCAGCCCAGGCUGCCAUGCUCACCUGGAGUGAGAGAGGUUAGGGUGGUACCUUUGUUUAAAUGUCUGUAUUAAAAAGAUGCACAUGUAUCAGGUAUCUUCAAAUGCUACCCUUUCAUUAACUGAAUUAAAAAAACAAACAAA